rnacentral:rRNA from 1 species
ACUUAAAUUGAAGAGUUUGAUCAUGGCUCAGAUUGAACGCUGGCGGCAGGCCUAACACAUGCAAGUCGAGCGGUAGCACAGAGAGCUUGCUCUCGGGUGACGAGCGGCGGACGGGUGAGUAAUGUCUGGGAAACUGCCUGAUGGAGGGGGAUAACUACUGGAAACGGUAGCUAAUACCGCAUAACGUCGCAAGACCAAAGUGGGGGACCUUCGGGCCUCAUGCCAUCAGAUGUGCCCAGAUGGGAUUAGCUAGUAGGUGGGGUAAUGGCUCACCUAGGCGACGAUCCCUAGCUGGUCUGAGAGGAUGACCAGCCACACUGGAACUGAGACACGGUCCAGACUCCUACGGGAGGCAGCAGUGGGGAAUAUUGCACAAUGGGCGCAAGCCUGAUGCAGCCAUGCCGCGUGUAUGAAGAAGGCCUUCGGGUUGUAAAGUACUUUCAGCGAGGAGGAAGGCGUUAAGGUUAAUAACCUUGGCGAUUGACGUUACUCGCAGAAGAAGCACCGGCUAACUCCGUGCCAGCAGCCGCGGUAAUACGGAGGGUGCAAGCGUUAAUCGGAAUUACUGGGCGUAAAGCGCACGCAGGCGGUCUGUCAAGUCGGAUGUGAAAUCCCCGGGCUCAACCUGGGAACUGCAUUCGAAACUGGCAGGCUAGAGUCUUGUAGAGGGGGGUAGAAUUCCAGGUGUAGCGGUGAAAUGCGUAGAGAUCUGGAGGAAUACCGGUGGCGAAGGCGGCCCCCUGGACAAAGACUGACGCUCAGGUGCGAAAGCGUGGGGAGCAAACAGGAUUAGAUACCCUGGUAGUCCACGCCGUAAACGAUGUCGACUUGGAGGUUGUGCCCUUGAGGCGUGGCUUCCGGAGCUAACGCGUUAAGUCGACCGCCUGGGGAGUACGGCCGCAAGGUUAAAACUCAAAUGAAUUGACGGGGGCCCGCACAAGCGGUGGAGCAUGUGGUUUAAUUCGAUGCAACGCGAAGAACCUUACCUACUCUUGACAUCCAGAGAACUUAGCAGAGAUGCUUUGGUGCCUUCGGGAACUCUGAGACAGGUGCUGCAUGGCUGUCGUCAGCUCGUGUUGUGAAAUGUUGGGUUAAGUCCCGCAACGAGCGCAACCCUUAUCCUUUGUUGCCAGCGAUUAGGUCGGGAACUCAAAGGAGACUGCCAGUGAUAAACUGGAGGAAGGUGGGGAUGACGUCAAGUCAUCAUGGCCCUUACGAGUAGGGCUACACACGUGCUACAAUGGCAUAUACAAAGAGAAGCGACCUCGCGAGAGCAAGCGGACCUCAUAAAGUAUGUCGUAGUCCGGAUUGGAGUCUGCAACUCGACUCCAUGAAGUCGGAAUCGCUAGUAAUCGUAGAUCAGAAUGCUACGGUGAAUACGUUCCCGGGCCUUGUACACACCGCCCGUCACACCAUGGGAGUGGGUUGCAAAAGAAGUAGGUAGCUUAACCUUCGGGAGGGCGCUUACCACUUUGUGAUUCAUGACUGGGGUGAAGUCGUAACAAGGUAACCGUAGGGGAACCUGCGGUUGGAUCACCUCCUUACCUUAAAGAA